AUAACUUUUAAAAGGAAAGACGGCAUCCGUGUAAGCAGCCAGUAAAUGUGCAAAUCUCUAGUUGGGCUUUAGCUGCUCUGAGGAGUUUCCCAGUGGAGCUAGGAUGGGAUUUCCACACAUGCACCUAGCCCCUUUCCCAGGGCUCGAGACAUCACUCUGGUCGGAAAACCGGGCAAACGAAACAGGCAACCAUCGGAGAACUCUGAAUUAACCGCAGCUCCCAGAAGCUCCUGCCCCUCUGACAGCUGUCGCUUCGGCAGCCCAAGAGACGAAUUGUCCUCCUUCCUGGUGCCAGAGGACGCAGGAAAUUAGCCAGGUUGCAAGUUGCAAAGCGGCGGCGGCUGCUCCAGGAACUGGACGCGCCCCACCUCCAGCGACAGCGGCCGGCCUGGGCCUGGCUGCGGCUUCCCCUCGCUCGCCAUCGCCGGACAAAGCACAGCCCAGGCAGGCUGGGAAGGCAGAGCUCCGAAGCAAGCAGGAUGGAGCGGAGCAAAAGAAUGCGGCUCUAUUCUCGCAAGGGAAAUUAUAAAAAAGUUCAUGUUCACGGUUCCUAUCCACAUGACCGACAGCGGCCAAUGGAAGGGCCGAACAACUCAUAAAGUUGUAUUGCAAAGUUGUAAAUUUUCAUAAACAACAACGGAUUUAUGACCCUUUCCCCAUCACUAAGAGGAGGCAGCUCUUACACAGGCGCCAUCUUACCACCGAGGCUGUCCCGAUUUGGGGCUGCAGGUUUUACAGACCCUUUUAGGUCCGAUUUUAUUAAAAGAAUCCAAAGAAGCUGGCCCAACCCAGCCAGGGGAUAAGAAUGGAGACCUUCGCGAGCCAAGCCCAGGAUACUCUAAGCUACUUCCACCGCCUCCCACCCCUGGUCCCUCGCCGCUAGCCCCUUCCCCAGCCACAGUCCUUCCUCCGCAACAGGACUUGACUAGGUUGCGCUGCCAGGUCUGAGGCCCAUGGCGGUCCAAGAAUCUCCCAGCCGCAGUGUUGGACCCUGGGGCAUCCUCACAUCUACUGAAGGCUAAGUGGGGGUACUGCGGCAGGGACCCUGAAUCCCAUUUCCUUCCUACCCUAGGGCUGUACUCAAGGCGCAUGCGGAAUCCGGAAUCAUUUGGAGGGUAGGUAGUACCCUUUUAGAGCUCAGCCUACACCUUUAGAGGAAAGUCGAAUUGGAAUUCGUUCAUGGAAUUUAUGGAAGUUUGAGAGGCUGUAGAUGGAACAUACCGCAUUAACAAAUAGUCUGUUUUCAACGGAUCCAGAUCAGAUAGACAUUGGUGCACAUACAACGGCCAGACAAAAACCAUCUACAAAGAGGAAGGCACGUAUACAGCUAUAGUCACAGAAAAACACAGAAACCUACCAUUAUAGACAUGGUAGAUGUUCGCACACACAUGAUGGAAAUGCAUACAAUUAUAAAAACUGUAAGCAACCGCACAGAGAAAUAGAAACGUGCUUAUGUACAUGUAAAACACGUAAAAAGAGACGUGAUACAUUUGUCCACGGAUAUCUAGAAUGUUGGCUCCAGGACAGUCUCUCUGCAUUUGCUUCCCAUUUCUUUGGCCUAUGGCCAGGGCCUGUGCUUCAGUUAUGGCCACUUCCCCUUGCCCCAGACCCCGUGGAUAAAGCAGUCCAUGUUUCUUUGUCACCAAGCAUCUUUAUUGUAACAUAAAACACAGGUAACUGGGCAGGGAAGCAUGCCUUCCCUAGACCUCAGUCUAGGUGUAGGGGGGACAUGGGGAGACAGGGGAGAUGAUGGGCCCAGGGUGGGUGCUGGACCUCCCCCACCCACUACAGAAUUAGUUCAAUACAACACACCAUGCUACAAAGUCACCCCAUUAAAACAUCCUUCCCAAGUCAAGACAUUCCUUUACAAAUGAGCUUCAAGAUUAUAGAAAUGACAACAACAACAACAAAAAAUUCUGGUUCAAAUAUACAGUAUUUGUCCUCGUAGGAAAAGUCAGAGUAUACAUAUUUGACAUGGCGGAACAGUAGGACACAGAAGCAAGGGAGAAGAGGACAGCAAGGCUGGGAACAUCAACUUAGUCCC